ACCUUCGGGCCUCUUGCCAUCGGAUGUGCCCAGAUGGGAUUAGCUAGUAGGUGGGGUAACGGCUCACCAAGGCGACGAUCCCUAGCUGGUCUGAGAGGAUGACCAGCCACACUGGAACUGAGACACGGUCCAGACUCCUACGGGAGGCAGCAGUGGGGAAUAUUGCACAAUGGGCGCAAGCCUGAUGCAGCCAUGCCGCGUGUAUGAAGAAGGCCUUCGGGUUGUAAAGUACUUUCAGCGGGGAGGAAGGGAGUAAAGUUAAUACCUUUGCUCAUUGACGUUACCCGCAGAAGAAGCACCGGCUAACUCCGUGCCAGCAGCCGCGGUAAUACGGAGGGUGCAAGCGUUAAUCGGAAUUACUGGGCGUAAAGCGCACGCAGGCGGUUUGUUAAGUCAGAUGUGAAAUCCCCGGGCUCAACCUGGGAACUGCAUCUGAUACUGGCAAGCUUGAGUCUCGUAGAGGGGGGUAGAAUUCCAGGUGUAGCGGUGAAAUGCGUAGAGAUCUGGAGGAAUACCGGUGGCGAAGGCGGCCCCCUGGACGAAGACUGA
rnacentral:rRNA from 1 species